rnacentral:lncRNA from 1 species
CAAGGAAAUGCCACAUAAUCUGUCAUGUCAUCAAUAUUACUGUUGAAAGUUAGUUAGGAUGGUUAUUAGUAGCUUACACAGUAAGAAAGGUGGUUAGGAUACUAAAUAGAUAUAAAAGGCUGAUUGUGGCUUAAUGUUUGUACUAAGUCAUCAUUCUAUCAAAACAAUAUCUCUCAUCUUCACUCUAAUUUUCUCUCUAAUAUUUCAAUAUUCUCUGUACUGCUUCCUUCUUCUUCUUCUUUCUGCAACUCUAGUUACUUCUAUUAAGAAUGCAUGUAUCAUGUAUGUGAUAAUGUGAGAGUAUGGCACUAAGAUUAAUGUCCAAUAUCACUAGGAAGGGUAAGAUUGUUCGUAUAGUAGGGCAUUGGGCCUAUGUAUAG